CUAUACCUAAAUGGUGAGAAAUGGGAGGCAUGGAGCGUUUUAACCUGUCCCGUCACAUCAUCUACAUUUUAUUGAGUUUGGGAAAUAUAGCAUUUCAAACUGUGGCCUUUCCUCCCGUUGACAGACCAUUAAACAGCUAUUGUGAAUGGACGAGCCAGUGCGCCUAUGGAUUGUGCUGCUUGAAGCCGAUCGUCGGUUAUUACCCAAGUUGCCGACCUCUGGCAAACCUAAUGGAGCAGUGUAGCAUCAGGCCAAAUGGUGGAAUCUAUACGCAUCAUUGCCCCUGUGUUGAUGGAGCUCGUUGCCAUACCGG